rnacentral:rRNA from 1 species
GAUCCUGGCUCAGGAUGAACGCUAGCUACAGGCUUAACACAUGCAAGUCGAGGGGCAGCAUGAACUUAGCUUGCUAAGUUUGAUGGCGACCGGCGCACGGGUGAGUAACACGUAUCCAACCUGCCGAUGACUCGGGGAUAGCCUUUCGAAAGAAAGAUUAAUACCCGAUGGCAUAGUUCUUCCGCAUGGUAGAACUAUUAAAGAAUUUCGGUCAUCGAUGGGGAUGCGUUCCAUAGUUG